rnacentral:rRNA from 1 species
UACGAGGGGGGCGAGCGUUGUUCGGAAUUAUUGGGCGUAAAGGGCGCGUAGGCGGUGCGGUAAGUCACCUGUGAAAUCUCUGGGCUUAACUCAGAGCCUGCAGGCGAAACUGCCGUGCUGGAGUGUGGGAGAGGUGCGUGGAAUUCCCGGUGUAGCAGUGAAAUGCGUAGAUAUCGGGAGGAACACCUGUGGCGAAAGCGGCGCACUGGACCACAACUGACGCUGAGGCGCGAAAGCUAGGGGAGCAAACAGG